rnacentral:lncRNA from 1 species
UGUUGAGGCUGUGGCUUGGUACACCCCUCUCUACUGCAACAGAAGACAAGGAUAGCUGUUGAAAAAGGAAAAAAAACCUUUUUUGAGAACAUUGUCUUACAACUUUCUCAACAAUAGAGCAAAAUGAGGGAUGACAAAAUGAACAGGAAUUUAUAUCAAAUGAUGCAGAGUGGAAGAGGCUGACCCAUGACAAGCCCAAGAAAAGACAAAUCUUCAUUAAAAGGUAUGUGGAAAUAAUGAGUGUUGUCAUCAACAUGAAGGAAGUAGCCAGAAAAAUGUCCUUCAGCUCCCAGCUGGCUGAGUAGGAAAGGUGGAAGGC